rnacentral:sRNA from 1 species
CGGUGCAGGGGAGAUCAUGUUUGACUGUAUGGAUGUUCUGUCAGUGAGUCCUGGGCAAAUCCUGGAUUUCUACACUGCGAGUCCGUCUUCCUGCAUGCUCCAGGAGAAAGCUCUCAAAGCAUGCUUCAGUGGAUUGACCCAAACCGAAUGGCAGCAUCGGCACACUGCUCAAUCGAUUGAAACACAGAGCACCAGCUCUGAGGAACUCGUCCCAAGCCCCCCAUCUCCACUUCCUCCCCCUCGAGUAUACAAACCCUGCUUCGUCUGCCAGGACAAAUCAUCAGGGUACCACUAUGGGGUCAGCGCCUGUGAGGGAUGUAAGGGCUUUUUCCGCAGAAGUAUUCAGAAGAAUAUGAUUUACACUUGUCACCGAGAUAAGAACUGUGUUAUUAAUAAAGUCACCAGGAAUCGAUGCCAAUACUGUCGACUCCAGAAGUGCUUUGAAGUGGGAAUGUCCAAAGAAUCUGUCAGGAAUGACAGGAACAAGAAAAAGAAGGAGACUUCGAAGCAAGAAUGCACAGAGAGCUAUGAAAUGACAGCUGAGUUGGACGAUCUCACAGAGAAGAUCCGAAAAGCUCACCAGGAAACUUUCCCUUCGCUCUGCCAGCUGGGUAAAUACACCACGAAUUCCAGUGCUGACCAUCGAGUCCGACUGGACCUGGGCCUCUGGGACAAAUUCAGUGAACUGGCCACCAAGUGCAUUAUUAAGAUCGUGGAGUUUGCUAAACGUCUGCCUGGUUUCACUGGCUUGACCAUCGCAGACCAAAUUACCCUGCUGAAGGCCGCCUGCCUGGACAUCCUGACCGCCAGGACCUUGAGGAACCGACAAAAGUAGAUAAGCUACAAGAACCAUUGCUGGAAGCACUAAAAAUUUAUAUCAGAAAAAGACGACCCAGCAAGCCUCACAUGUUUCCAAAGAUCUUAAUGAAAAUCACAGAUCUCCGUAGCAUCAGUGCUAAAGGUGCAGAGCGUGUAAUUACCUUGAAAAUGGAAAUUCCUGGAUCAAUGCCACCUCUCAUUCAAGAAAUGCUGGAGAAUUCUGAAGGACAUGAACCCUUGACCCCAAGUUCAAGUGGGAACACAGCAGAGCACAGUCCUAGCAUCUCACCCAGCUCAGUGGAAAACAGUGGGGUCAGUCAGUCACCACUCGUGCAAUAAGACAUUUUCUAGCUACUUCAAACAUUCCCCAGU